rnacentral:snRNA from 1 species
CGAGAUUCCCACUGUCCCUGUC